GAUGAACGCUAGCUACAGGCUUAACACAUGCAAGUCGAGGGGCAGCAUUUCAGUUUGCUUGCAAACUGGAGAUGGCGACCGGCGCACGGGUGAGUAACACGUAUCCAACCUGCCGAUAACUCGGGGAUAGCCUUGCGAAAGUAAGAUUAAUACCCGGCGGUCUCGGAUGGCCGCAUGACAGUCCGAGUGAAGAUUUAUCGGUAUGAGAUGGCGAUGCGUCCCAUUAGCUUGUUGGUGAGGUAACGGCUCACCAAGGCAUCGAUGGGUAGGGGUUCUGAGAGGAAGGUCCCCCACAUUGGGACUGAGACACGGCCCAG
rnacentral:rRNA from 1 species